GACGAACGCUGGCGGCGUGCUUAACACAUGCAAGUCGAACGGAAAGGCCUCUUUCGGGGGGUACUCGAGUGGCGAACGGGUGAGUAACACGUGAGUAACCUGCCCUUGACUUUGGGAUAACUUCAGGAAACUGGGGCUAAUACCGGAUAGGAGCUCCUGCUGCAUGGUGGGGGUUGGAAAGUUUCGGCGGUUGGGGAUGGACUCGCGGCUUAUCAGCUUGUUGGUGGGGUAGUGGCUUACCAAGGCUUUGACGGGUAGCCGGCCUGAGUGGGUGACCGGCCACAUUGGGACUGAGAUACGGCCCAGACUCCUACGGGAGGCAGCAGUGGGGAAUAUUGCACAAUGGGUGGAAGCCUGAUGCAGCAACGCCGUGUGCGGGAUGACGGCCUUCGGGUUGUAAACCGCUUUCGCUCAUGACGAAGCUUUGUGUGACGGUAGUGGGUAAAGAAGCACCGGCUAACUACGUG
rnacentral:rRNA from 1 species